AACGAACGCUGGCGGCAUGCCUAACACAUGCAAGUCGAACGAGACCUUCGGGUCUAGUGGCGCACGGGUGCGUAACGCGUGGGAAUCUGCCCUCUGGUACGGAAUAACUCAGGGAAACUUGAGCUAAUACCGUAUAAUGACUUCGGUCCAAAGAUUUAUCGCCUGAGGAUGAGCCCGCGUCGGAUUAGCUAGUUGGUGAGGUAAAAGCUCACCAAGGCGACGAUCCGUAGCUGGUCUGAGAGGAUGAUCAGCCACACUGGGACUGAGACACGGCCCAGACUCCUACGGGAGGCAGCAGUGGGGAAUAUUGGACAAUGGGCGAAAGCCUGAUCCAGCAAUGCCGCGUGAGUGAUGAAGGCCUUAGGGUUGUAAAGCUCUUUUACCCGGGAUGAUAAUGACAGUACCGGGAGAAUAAGCCCCGGCUAACUCCGUGCCAGCAGCCGCGGUAACAC
rnacentral:rRNA from 1 species